GACGAACGCUGGCGGCGUGCCUAAUACAUGCAAGUCGAGCGGACGAAUCGAAAGCUUGCUUUUGAUUCGUUAGCGGCGGACGGGUGAGUAACACGUGGGCAACCUGCCCUGUAGACGGGGAUAACACCGAGAAAUCGGUGCUAAUACCGGAUAACACGAAAUGUCGCAUGACGUUUCGUUGAAAGACGGCGCAAGCUGUCGCUACAGGAUGGGCCCGCGGCGCAUUAGCUAGUUGGUGAGGUAACGGCUCACCAAGGCGACGAUGCGUAGCCGACCUGAGAGGGUGAUCGGCCACACUGGGACUGAGACACGGCCCAGACUCCUACGGGAGGCAGCAGUAGGGAAUCUUCCGCAAUGGACGAAAGUCUGACGGAGCAACGCCGCGUGAGCGAAGAAGGCCUUCGGGUCGUAAAGCUCUGUUGUUAGGGAAGAACAAGUAACGCAGUAACUGGCGUUACCGUGACGGUACCUAACGAGAAAGCCACGGCUAACUACGUGCCAGCCGCCGCCGUAAAAC
rnacentral:rRNA from 1 species